rnacentral:rRNA from 1 species
AUUGAACGCUGGCGGCAGGCUUAACACAUGCAAGUCGAGCGGUAGCACAGGGGAGCUUGCUCCCUGGGUGACGAGCGGCGGACGGGUGAGUAAUGUCUGGGAAACUGCCUGAUGGAGGGGGAUAACUACUGGAAACGGUAGCUAAUACCGCAUAACGUCGCAAGACCAAAGAGGGGGACCUUCGGGCCUCUUGCCAUCAGAUGUGCCCAGAUGGGAUUAGCUAGUAGGUGGGGUAAUGGCUCACCUAGGCGACGAUCCCUAGCUGGUCUGAGAGGAUGACCAGCCACACUGGAACUGAGACACGGUCCAGACUCCUACGGGAGGCAGCAGUGGGGAAUAUUGCACAAUGGGCGCAAGCCUGAUGCAGCCAUGCCGCGUGUGUGAAGAAGGCCUUCGGGUUGUAAAGCACUUUCAGCGAGGAGGAAGGUGGUGAGCUUAAUACGCUCAUCAAUUGACGUUACUCGCAGAAGAAGCACCGGCUAACUCCGU